GACGAACGCUGGCGGCGUGCUUAACACAUGCAAGUCGAACGGAAAGGCCCUGCUUUUGUGGGGUGCUCGAGUGGCGAACGGGUGAGUAACACGUGAGUAACCUGCCCUUGACUUUGGGAUAACUUCAGGAAACUGGGGCUAAUACCGGAUAGGAGCUCCUGCUGCAUGGUGGGGGUUGGAAAGUUUCGGCGGUUGGGGAUGGACUCGCGGCUUAUCAGCUUGUUGGUGGGGUAGUGGCUUACCAAGGCUUUGACGGGUAGCCGGCCUGAGAGGGUGACCGGCCACAGUGGGACUGAGAUACGGCCCAGACUCCUACGGGAGGCAGCAGUGGGGAAUAUUGCACAAUGGGCGGAAGCAUGAUGCAGCAACGCCGCGUGCGGGAUGACGGCCUUCGGGUUGUAACCAGCUUUCGCCUGUGACGAAGCGUGAGUGACGGUAAUGGGUAAAGAAGCACCGGCUAACUACGU
rnacentral:rRNA from 1 species